rnacentral:rRNA from 1 species
AGAGAUGGAUUUGUGCCUUCGGGAACUGUGAGACAGGUGCUGCAUGGCUGUCGUCAGCUCGUGUUGUGAAAUGUUGGGUUAAGUCCCGCAACGAGCGCAACCCUUAUCCUUUGUUGCCAGCGGUUAGGCCGGGAACUCAAAGGAGACUGCCAGUGAUAAACUGGAGGAAGGUGGGGAUGACGUCAAGUCAUCAUGGCCCUUACGACCAGGGCUACACACGUGCUACAAUGGCGCAUACAAAGAGAAGCGACCUCGCGAGAGCAAGCGGACCUCAUAAAGUGCGUCGUAGUCCGGAUUGGAGUCUGCAACUCGACUCCAUGAAGUCGGAAUCGCUAGUAAUCGUGGAUCAGAAUGCCACGGUGAAUACGUUCCCGGGCCUUGUACACACCGCCCGUCACACCAUGGGAGUGGGUUGCAAAAGAAGUAGGUAGCUUAACCUUCGGGAGGGCGCUUACCACUUUGUGAUUCAUGACUGGGGUGAAGUCGUAACAAGGUAACCGUAGGGGAACCUGCGGUUGGA